rnacentral:rRNA from 3 species
GCUGGUCCUUUGAGCGAGUUGGAACUACCUGAUCCCUUUCCGAACUCAGAAGUAAAACGGCUCAGCGCCUACGAUACUCCGAGUCUGACUCGGGGGACAAUGGGUCAGGGCCAGCA